UCACCUCAUUUGUAAUUGCAUAGCUGGCUUUCAACUGACCUGAUGCUCUCUUAUUUUGUUCUUUCUGACUGUUUAGACAGCGGGGCAUCUUGGUGUCUUGGCGCCAGCUGGAUGGGCGGGACCUCGUCAUUAUGAUCAGUGAUGUAUGCUUUGCUGGUUGGAUUGAUCAAACAUGGGCCAAGGUUUCCAUUCAGGAACGCACUUCAAUUUGGCUGUACCACUGUCGGUGCUUGGCUGGCGCCUGCCGAAUGAAUCAUCGCAGAUUUUGCUUGCCUGUGUCUACAAGAACCUUCACGCUUGACCAGCGACAAAAAGCAUUUGUGGGCAGCCAGUGCUCUCCUACAAAGACUCGCAUGCUCUGGCUGCCACAGCGAUCAUCUUGAAGAUCUAUGCAUGGCCACCUUUGCUGCUAUUUGUCACUCUUAAUUACACUUUCUGCAUCUUUUCUCAUUUGUUAGGUAAUACAGUGACUGUGACUUCGUGUGAAGUAGAUAUCUUGCAGCAUUUUGGCUUGCAGUCAUAUUCUGUGCACUUCAUGAAAAGCUCAUCGUACAGUGUGUGUAAAAAAAAAAACACAAUAUUCUA
rnacentral:lncRNA from 1 species